AUUUGUUUGUUUCUUUUUUUUUUCUUGUUGGUGUUUUUAUAUCUAAGCCUCCAAAAGUUUUGUUUGGAAUCAAUUGCAGAUGAAAAUGUUAGGUUAAUCAGUGGUGGAGAUGUAUAAGAAAACUCCAUGGAAUCACAGAAUCAUUUAAUCCUACUCCCCUUCUAAAACAGGUUCCCUACAACAGGUUGCACAGCCUCAGGAUGUCUUGAAGAAAAUAUCUAUCUCAACGGGCACAUUCCUGGGUGGCAAAGAUAAUUAACAACUGAAUACAUAAAUCAACUAAUAAACACACUACUUCUUAUUCCACUCUUCCAACUCAGUUCUCCUACGCAGAUGGAUGCGAACUUAAUCUGCCUACACUGGAUGGACAAAAACUCAGUCUGAGAUGAAGAAACAUAUUAAUAAAGCUCAGGUGCCAGUCAGAGUUAUCCCUGUGUAUAUGUCUACAUAAUACUGAAAAUACACUAACAGAAGCCUGGAAAAGAUCUUACCAGAGAGACCUGGACAGACUUGUGCAGUGGGCCCAGGUGAAGUUUAUGAGGUUCAAAAAAGCCAAGUGCAAUGUAUUGCAGCUGGGUCAUGGCAACCUCCACUAUCAGUACAUGUUGGGAGAUGAAAGGAUAGAGCACAGCCCUACCUAAAAGGACUUGGAGGUAAUGGUGGGUGGCAAGAUGGACAUGAGCCAGCAAGAUACCCUCUCAGACUGGAAAGCCAACUGUAUGCAGGGCUG
ensembl:lncRNA